rnacentral:rRNA from 1 species
ACGUACCUACGGGAGGCAGCAGUGAGGAAUAUUGGUCAAUGGGCGCGAGCCUGAACCAGCCAAGUAGCGUGAAGGAUGACUGCCCUACGGGAUGUAAACUUCUUUUAUAAAGGAAUAAAGUGAGGCACGUGUGCCUUUUUGUAUGUACUUUAUGAAUAAGGAUCGGCUAACUCCGUGCCAGCAGCCGCGGUAAUACGGAGGAUCCGAGCGUUAUCCGGAUUUAUUGGGUUUAAAGGGAGCGUAGAUGGGUUGUUAAGUCAGUUGUGAAAGUUUGCGGCUCAACCGUAAAAUUGCAAUUGAUACUG